GGCGUACACGGAACCUGAUGCAAACAACACACUCUUGCUCACUGCCCAAGACUUCCAGUGUGGCGAAGACCAGACAGAAACCAUGGUCGACGAUGGGGGAUUUGCAGUAUCGAUGGAGAAAGUAAACACGGAAGAAGAGUGUACUCCAGCAACCACCGAUGGCGGUAACUCCAUUAUGGUCAGCUUUGUGUCUUCUAUGGUGUGCCUCCUCACUGCUCUUAAAUUGUAAAAAAAUAAUAAUAAGCAAUAUUGUACAUGGCAUAAAGAGGCCACAGGUCGGUUGGUACGAUCCUCGUUCGAGGACGGUGUUGUGUUUGCACUGAGAAUUUUUGAAUAUUCUCAGUUAUUUAUGGUUUCAAUGCGUAUAUUAUUUAUAAGGAAGUUAAGCAGAUAACACAUAUUGUCGACCUACCAAAACAAGUUUAUUAGAUAAAUACUUCGACCCAAUAUUUAUAUCAUACUAAACUUUCUUAAGUAAUCUAGUCAUUCGAUCUCUAUUGUAAGUGCUUCGAUAUACUAGUAUCAAUUUCUAAAACAAAUCACGUGGUUCCCUGCAAUGGGUUGGUGUUGAACAAUGUGGCUUUGGACGAGGAUGGUCACGUGCCAUAGAUGCGAAGCGAAAGAGAAUCCCUGCAGAUCGUUCAUGGGGACCAUGGUUUAUUUCGUUUUAAUGGUGAAUAAUUGAUGGUCACAGUAACGUUAUUUAUGCAUGUAAUUAAUAUGCCAAAGCGUAGCGUGGUCGUCCCCAGGAAUCGUUACUUAAGUGUAAUGCGGUGUAUCAAUAGCGCCAACACAGGUGAAUAUGUGCAUUUCUUUCGUAUUCUCUUAUUUUAUAUUAGUUGUACUACAAAUGAUUGUCACUGAAACACGAUGUUUCUGGAUGGAACUGUUGUAUAUCGUAAAUGCACAGUGUAGCAAUCAAAGUUCUGUAAGU